UGUGCCAGCAGCCGCGGUAAUACCAGCACCCCGAGUGGUCGGGACGAUUAUUGGGCCUAAAGCAUCCGUAGCCGGUUUUACAAGUCCUCCGUUAAAUCCAACUGCUUAACAGAUGGGCCGCGGAGGAUACUAUAAGACUAGGAGGCAGGAGAGGCAAGCGGUACUCAGUGGGUAGGGGUAAAAUCCGUUGAUCCAUUGAAGACCACCAGUGGCGAAGGCGGCUUGCCAGAAUGCGCUCGACGGUGAGGGAUGAAAGCUGGGGGAACAAACCGGAUUAGAUACCCGGGUAGUCCCAGCUGUAAACGAUGCAGACUCGGUGAUGGACUAUCUUUAUGCUAC
rnacentral:rRNA from 1 species